rnacentral:rRNA from 1 species
GACGAACGCUGGCGGCGUGCCUAAUACAUGCAAGUAGAACGCUGAAGGCGGAGCUUGCUUCUCUGGAUGAGUUGCGAACGGGUGAGUAACGCGUAGGUAACCUGCCUGGUAGCGGGGGAUAACUAUUGGAAACGAUAGCUAAUACCGCAUAAGAGUAGAUGUCGCAUGACAUUUGCUUAAAAGGUGCAAUUGCAUCACUACCAGAUGGACCUGCGUUGUAUUAGCUAGUUGGUGAGGUAACGGCUCACCAAGGCAACGAUACAUAGCCGACCUGAGAGGGUGAUCGGCCACACUGGGACUGAGACACGGCCCAGACUCCUACGGGAGGCAGCAGUAGGGAAUCUUCGGCAAUGGACGGAAGUCUGACCGAGCAACGCCGCGUGAGUGAAGAAGGUUUUCGGAUCGGAAAGCUCUGUUGUAAGAGAAGAACGAGUGUGAGAGUGGAAAGUUCACACUGUGACGGUAUCUUACCAGAAAGGGACGGCUAACUACGUG